GGGUCGGUAACUCAGUGGUAGAGUAUCAGAUUGCAAAUCUGGUGGUCGCGAGUUCGAUCCUCGCCCGGCCCU
rfam:Aspergillus glaucus CBS 516.65 unplaced genomic scaffold ASPGLscaffold_4, whole genome shotgun sequence.